CACGAACCGUGCGAACGUUAUUCGGAAUUACUGGGCUUAAAGAGUUCGUAGGCGGCGUGUUAAGUUGGGUGUGAAAGUCCCUUGGCUCAACCAAGGAAUUGCGCUCAAAACUAGCAUGCUUGAGGAAGACAGGGGUAAGCGGAACUGAUGGUGGAGCGGUGAAAUGCGUAGAUAUCAUCAGGAACACCGGUGGCGAAGGCGGCUUACUGGGUCUUUUCUGACGCUGAGGAAUGAAAGCUGAGGGGAGCGAACGGGG
rnacentral:rRNA from 1 species